UACGUAGGGCGCAAGCGUUGUCCGGAAUUAUUGGGCGUAAAGAGCUCGUAGGCGGUCUGUCGCGUCUGGUGUGAAAUCCCGAGGCUCAACCUCGGGCUUGCAUCGGGUACGGGCAGACUAGAGUGCGGUAGGGGAGACUGGAAUUCCUGGUGUAGCGGUGAAAUGCGUAGAUAUCUGGAGGAACACCGGUGGCGAAGGCGGCAUCCUGGACCAAUUCUGACACUGAGGAGCGAAAGCCAGGGGAGCAAACGGG
rnacentral:rRNA from 1 species